AUUGAACGCUGGCGGCAGGCCUAACACAUGCAAGUCGAGCGAAUGAAGCGAGCUUGCUCCUGGAUGCAGCAGCAGAGGGGGGGGUCAUGCCUAUUGAUCUGCCUUAGAGUUGGGGAUAACGUCGGAAAACGGGCUCUAAUACCUCAUGCGACCUGAGAGCGAAAAUGGGGGGUCUUCGGACCGCACGCUAUCAGAGGAGCCUAGGUCGGAUUAGCUAGUUGGUGGGGUAACGGCCUAACGAGGCGACGAUGCGUAACUGGUAUGAGAGGAUGACCAGUCACAUUGGAACUGAGAAACGGCCCAGACUCCCACGGGAGGACGCAGUGGGGAAUAUUGGACAAUGGGCGAAAGCCUGAUCCAGCAAUGCGGCGUGUGUGAAGAAGGUCUUCGGAUUGGAAAGCACUUUAAGUUGGGAGGAAGGGAAGCAAGUUCAUCUCUUGAUGUUUUGACGUUACCAACAGAAGAAGCACCGGCUAACUUCGUG
rnacentral:rRNA from 1 species